AUGGAUGAGCUGUGGAAGGACAUGUCGCUCUGCUCCACCCCGCCCGCGCUACAGUCUCACCAUCUCCACUCCCCAGCCGCCGCUCCCUACCGCGGCGCUGCCUACUCCCAGGACUACCUCGCCGGCGCCGUUCCACAGCCGCCCGCCACGCCGCCUCCUCACACGGCGCUCACCUACCUCGGGGGGAUCGGCGACGACCCAGCCGGCUGCCACUUUGGCUUCUCCGCGUCCGGAGGCGGCAGCAGGAGGGCCGUGGUCCAGCCGGCGGUGGGCGGCGACCGGCGGCAGCGCCGGAUGGUCAAGAACCGGGAGUCGGCGGCGCGGUCGCGGGCGCGGAAGCAAGCCCACACCAACGAGAUGGAGCAGGAGCUGGAGCAGCUGCGCCGGGAGAACAGGAUGCUAAUCCAGCGCGAGCAGGACUUCAUCAACGAUCGUUUGGCGAAGGCGGUUCAGGUAGACGUCCCCGACUGCAGCAGCAGGAACACUAGUAGUACCCUCCAGCAGCAGCAGAGGUGCCGCUCCGCCCCUGCACCAUGA
rnacentral:rRNA from 1 species